UACGUAGGGGGCAAGCGUUGUCCGGAAUUAUUGGGCGUAAAGAGCUCGUAGGCGGCCUGUUGCGUCCGCUGUGAAAUCCCGGGGCUCAACCCCGGGCGUGCAGUGGAUACGGGCUGGCUGGAGGCAGGCAGGGGAGAACGGAAUUCCUGGUGUAGCGGUGAAAUGCGCAGAUAUCAGGAGGAACACCGGUGGCGAAGGCGGUUCUCUGGGCCUGUACUGACGCUGAGGAGCGAAAGCGUGGGGAGCGAACAGG
rnacentral:rRNA from 1 species